UACGGGGGGGGCAAGCGUUGUUCGGAAUUACUGGGCGUAAAGCGUGCGUAGGCGGUUUCUUAAGUCUGCUGUGAAAGCCCUGGGCUCAACCUGGGAAUGGCGGUGGAUACUGAGAAGCUGGAGUACGGUAGAGGAAGGUGGAAUUCCCGGUGUAGCGGUGAAAUGCGUAGAGAUCGGGAGGAACAUCAGUGGCGAAGGCGGCCUUCUGGACCAGUACUGACGCUGAGGCACGAAAGCGUGGGGAGCAAACAGG
rnacentral:rRNA from 1 species